GACGUAGGGUGCGAGCGUUGUCCGGAUUUAUUGGGCGUAAAGAGCUCGUAGGCGGCUCGUCGCGUCGACCGUGAAAACCCGCGGCUUAACUGCGGGCUUGCGGUUGAUACGGGCGGGCUAGAGUUCGGUAGGGGAGAGUGGAAUUCCUGGUGUAGCGGUGAAAUGCGCAGAUAUCAGGAGGAACACCGGUGGCGAAGGCGGGUCUCUGGGCCGAUACUGACGCUGAGGAGCGAAAGCGUGGGGAGCGAACAGG
rnacentral:rRNA from 1 species